rnacentral:rRNA from 1 species
CGAUCCCACGUCAGGCGGGAUUACCCGCUAAGUUUAAGUAUAUCAAUAAGUGGAGAAAAAAAACAUAAAAGGAUUCCCUUAGUAACGGAGAGUGAACCAAGAAUAGCCCAGCCUUAGAAUCAGGUAGCUCCAUCAUCCAAAUUGUAGUCUAGAGAAGCGUCCUUAGCAGCGGACUGGGACCAAGUCCCCUGGAAGAGGACACCAGAGAGGGUGAGAGGCCCAUUGUGCUCGGACACUGUCGCACCAUGAGGUGCUGUUUAUGAGUCGGGUUGUUUGGGAAUACAACCGAAAUUGUGUGGUGAACUCCAUCCAAGGCUAAAUAUGGGGAAGAGACCAAUAGCAAACAAGUACCACCAGGGAAAGAUGAAAAGGACUUUGAAAAGAGAAUCAAAGAGUGCUUUAAAUUAUUUGGAGGCAAGUGGAUUGGGGCCAGCGAUGAGCCUCAGUCAGAUAUGGAACGACGAUGAGCUGGUCUACCAAUUGACUCGGGGUAUGGACCGCCGUGGAUUAGGGGCGGCUAAAGUCCAGGAUCUCGAUAUGCUCAUGGAAUGUCGUAUCCUCGAUUGUGAUAGGUUGUGCAUACCUCUAGUGUGCUUCGGCAUCUGCGUGCUUCGGAUGCUGGGUUGUGGGAUCCCCAUUUGAUCCGUCUUGAAACAUCGAGUUAACUCGUAAGGCAUAAGGAAGCUGAUUGGUGGAAUACUCCUGAGGGGGGCAUCACCGACUGACCAUUAUAUUCUGAGAAGGGUUCGAGUGUGAGCAUAUCUGUCAAGACCCGAAAGAUGGUGAACUAUGCCUGAGCAGGGCGAAGCCAUAGGAAACUUUGGUGGAGGCCUGCAACGAUACUGACGUACAAAUCAUUCAUCUGACUUGGGUAUAAGGGCAAAAGACUAAUCCAACUGUCUAGUAAUUAGUUCUCUUCGAAAUUUCCCUCAAGAUAGCUGGAGCUCACGUGCGAGUUCUAUCCGGUAAAGCCAAUGAUUAGAAAACUCAGAGGCACAACGCCUUCGACUUAUUCCCCAACUUAAAAUAGGUAGGACAGCGCAGCUACUUUGUUGAGCAGCACCACAGAAUUAAGAACUCCAAAAGGGCCAUUUUGAGUAAGCAGAACUGGCGAUGUGGGAUGAAGCAUAAGUCGGGUUACAAUGCCAAACAAUGCACUAACCUAGAUCCCAAAAAGGGUGUUGGUCAAUUAAGACAGUAGGAUGGUGGUCAUGGAAGUCAAAAUCGACUAAGGAGUGUGUAACAACUCACCUACCAAAUCAACUAGCCCUAAAAAUAGAUGGCUCUUAAGCGCGCGACCUACACCCGAUAGUUGGGGCAAGUGCCAGGCCCCGAUAAGUAGGAGGGCACGAUGGUCUCUAGAAAACCUUAAGCAUGAGCCCGGGUGGAGUAGCCGUUGGUUCAGAUAUUAGUGGUAGUAGAAAAUAUUCAAAUGUUAAAUUUAAAGGCCAAAGAGCGGAAAGGUUCCAUGUGAAUGACACUUAAAAAUGGGCUAAUUGAUCCUAAGGGUUGGGGGAACCUCAAUAAAUAGCGUAUUUCGUGCGAACUCCAAAAGAGAAUUAGUGUAAAAUUCCUGAAUCGGGAUGUGGCAGUCGAAGGCAAUGUUUGGAAGUCUGGAAACGUCGACGGGAGCCCCAAGAAGAGUUAUCUUUUUUAUUUAACAGCCUACCUACCCUAGAAUCAGCUCAACCGAAGGAAGGGUCUAGCAGCUAGAAGAGCACUGUGCGUCGCAUGGUAUCCAAUACCUAUCCACUCCCGAUCAUACUUAUAACCACAUCUGGUCUCCAAGGUGAACAACCUCUGGUCGAUGGAACAAUGUAGGCAAGAAAAGCCCGCAAAAUAGAACUGUAACUUUGGGGAAAGGAUAGGAUCUGAGGAAUGGGCACGGGGGUCCCAUUCCCUAAACUCCUCGGUUGUCGAUGGACUACUUGAGCUGCUCUUGUGGUGAUAGCGGGUCACCGCGGGCCGAUCGGGGGACAGAUUAAAAAUGAUUCCUUUAGGGGUCUUCCCCGCCCGUCGAACAACCAACUCAGAACUAGUAUGGAUAAGAGGAAUCUGACUAUUUAAUUUAAAUAAAGCAUUGUGAUGGUCCCAACAGAUGUUCACACAAUGUGAUUUUUGCCCAGUGCUCUGAAUUUCAAAGUGAAGAAGUCCAACCAAGCGCGGGUAAACGACGAGAGUAACUAUGAAUAUCUUACGGUAUACAAAUGACUCGUUAUCUAAUUAGUUAUGCACAUGAAUGGAUUAAUAAGAUUCCCACCAUCCUUUUCUAAUAUCCAGCAAAACCACAGCCAUGGGAACGGGCUUGGCAGGAUCAGUGGUGAAAGAAGACCCUGUUGAGCCUUACUCUAGUUUGACUUUUUGAAAUGAAUUAAGAGGUGUAGUAUAAGUGGGAUCUGAUCUUGGAUGUAUUUAUACACUUAAGCACCAUAACGUACCAAUAUUUUAGCUAAGUUUUGAGAACAAAAGUGCCUAGUUUCUUAUGUUUUACUCUACUUUGAUGUAAUUGAGCUAACCUAUGUGAAUAGAAUGAUUUCAAGUGAUAAUGAGGUAGAUAUAGACAUGAUGAGACUGUGGAUUGCGGAUGAAAAAUCACACAAGAGGAAAAGUUGCUUGUUGGAUCAAAUGUGACGUCUAGAAACUAUGUUCAAGACUAAUGUGUCAGUUGUAAUUAGUAUGGGGACUUAGAUGGAAAUUAUGAGAGAAGAGAUCAUUAAAAGACUUUAUGCUGAACUUUUAUUUCACUAUUCAUUAUUCUGUAUUAGUUUUUGAAGAGGAGAAGAGCGGCUUAGCUUGGGAGGAAGGAGAAAAAUGCUUUUCUCUUAUUUUUACUAUUAGCACAUCAAGAUCAUCUUCUAGCUUAGUAUGAUGAAUAUUUCUAUGAUGAUUUAUGUAUUGUUCAUGAGCAGCUAAGCUCAUUGGUUAGGGUUAUGGAAACCUUGUAGCAUAUUAUUUAUUUCUAUAGGUUUUGAAUUCAUCAUGCAUUGAUUUACUUAU